rnacentral:tRNA from 1 species
GGUCCCGUGGCCCAAUGGAUAAGGCGCCUGACUUUGGAUCAGGAGAUUGCAGGUUCGAGUCCUGCCUGGAUCG